rnacentral:tRNA from 2 species
AGUUGCCUAAUCCGGUAGGGCAGAGGUCUCAAAAACCUCAGUCUCCCAAGACUUCUGGGUUCAAAUCCCAGCAUGGGUG